rnacentral:rRNA from 1 species
AUUGAACGCUGGCGGCAUGCCUUACACAUGCAAGUCGAACGGUAACGCGGGGGCAACCUGGCGACGAGUGGCGAACGGGUGAGUAAUGCAUCGGAACGUGCCCAGUAGUGGGGGAUAGCCCGGCGAAAGCCGGAUUAAUACCGCAUACGACCUACGGGUGAAAGCGGGGGAUCGCAAGACCUCGCGCUAUUGGAGCGGCCGAUGUCAGAUUAGGUAGUUGGUGAGGUAAAGGCUCACCAAGCCUUUGAUCUGUAGCUGGUCUGAGAGGACGACCAGCCACACUGGGACUGAGACACGGCCCAGACUCCUACGGGAGGCAGCAGUGGGGAAUUUUGGACAAUGGGCGCAAGCCUGAUCCAGCCAUGCCGCGUGCGGGAAGAAGGCCUUCGGGUUGUAAACCGCUUUUGUCAGGGAAGAAACGCUCUGGGUUAAUACCCUGGAGUAAUGACGGUACCUGAAGAAUAAGCACCGGCUAACUACGUG